UCUCUCAUCAUAUAAACAACAAAGUACAGAGAUACUUACGAUAUAAGUAAGAGAUUCAUGUCACAGUGCAGACAGCUUCAUUUAUUAUACCGAGAGGGUUUUUUUUUUUUUUGAGAGUGCGUAAAUUUGCACCAGACUGAAGUAAGAAAUAAUGUAUGAUAAUAUAAUGUUUUUUUCCAUUGCUUUUCUGUUCUAUAUCGCUGUUUGAAAAACACUGUAAAUGAAAGCGUUAUAAUUAGUAUCUUACGUUUUUAUUAAACUGUGAUUACGUUAAAUACAAAUUAAGUAGUAACCCUAUUAAACAAAUAUUUUAUGGCACGACACCCAUAUUUUUUACCUGCCUUAAAAGAUGGGUUUUUGAUGUGCGUAAUUAUUAGACUAACAUAGGCUUUUGAGUUCACCUUACGCCUAUGAUUCAAGUUAUUCGUGUCUCACAAGGAAAAUUAACGGAGACUCUUGUGUUUUUCUUAAUUCGUUAAGUUAAUAGGGAACAUGGGCCAUUUCCGUGUCGGGCCCCCGAGGGAUCUGCGCCAGUUCUAUUCAUUUGUUUGUACAUAAACAUUCUAUUUCUGUUGUGACGUAAUACAGUGGAACUGAAUAUUAGCAUUGCUUUAGUUCUUGUGUGCAACUAGGACGAACAAAUUACCUGUCUUUCCAUCAAGGUAAUAAAUCUCUUUAGAAAAACAUGAAAUAAUAAUUUAUUUUGCCUUAAAAAAGUCACUAAACCAUAUUUCUGAAACAUCUCAAAUUCUGUUCCUUAUUGUGCAUCAUAUGGAUUUGUCUGUGCAUGUUUUUUUACUCUCAUAGAUUUUGUUACCAUUGCCAUGCAUUAUACGGCUGAGAGACUGCAACGGCUGGACUUAAAAAUCAUAAUUUGUAUUCUACUGAAGAAACAAUGUCACCUACUUCUUAGAUGCCCUGGGGGCUGGAGGAUCUGGAGUUUAACAAUGAAGAAGAGAAGAGGCAGGUUUGUUUUGGACAUUCUCUCUGACGACCAGUGACCACUCCAGACACAUUAACAUCAACAGCGCA